rnacentral:rRNA from 1 species
UGAACGCUGGCGGUAGGCCUAACACAUGCAAGUCGAACGGCAGCACAGGAGAGCUUGCUCUCUGGGUGGCGAGUGGCGGACGGGUGAGGAAUACAUCGGAAUCUGCCCAGUCGUGGGGGAUAACGUAGGGAAACUUACGCUAAUACCGCAUACGACCUUCGGGUGAAAGAGGGGGAUCGCAAGACCUCUCGCGAUUGGAUGAGCCGAUGUCGGAUUAGCUAGUUGGCGGGGUAAUGGCCCACCAAGGCGACGAUCCGUAGCUGGUCUGAGAGGAUGAUCAGCCACACUGGAACUGAGACACGGUCCAGACUCCUACGGGAGGCAGCAGUGGGGAAUAUUGGACAAUGGGCGCAAGCCUGAUCCAGCCAUACCGCGUGGGUGAAGAAGGCCUUCGGGUUGUAAAGCCCUUUUGUUGGGAAAGAAAUCUUUCAGGCUAAUACCCUGGGAGGAUGACGGUACCCAAAGAAUAAGCACCGGCUAACUUCGUG